CUGCGGAGGGAUCAUUACCGAGCGAGGGCGCUUGCGCCCGACCUCCCAACCCUUUGUCGGACGACACCCCGUUACCUCGGGGGCCGCCUUCGCGGCGUCCCCCGGAGGACCUCAAUCAAAACCCUGCGUCCAUGCGUCGGAGUACCUUUGAUAAAUCAAUCAAAACUUUCAACAACGGAUCUCUUGGUUCUGGCAUCGAUGAAGAACGCAACGAAAUGCGAUAAGUAAUGUGAAUUGCAGAAUUCAGUGAAUCAUCGAAUCUUUGAACGCACAUUGCGCCCCUUGGUAUUCCGGGGGGCAUGCCCGUUCGCACGUCAUUACACCACUCAAGCCUCGCUUGGUCUUGGGCGGCGGGCCCCCGCGCCCCCGCCCCCAGGUCUGCCGGCUGGACGGUUGGGUUCUCAGCGUUGUGAAUCAAGUUCCGCUCGGAUCCCCGGCCGGACGCGCCGUUCAAAUA
rnacentral:rRNA from 1 species